rnacentral:rRNA from 1 species
UACGUAGGGGGCAAGCGUUGUCCGGAUUUAUUGGGCGUAAAGAGCGUGUAGGCGGCCAGAUAGGUCCGUUGUGAAAACUCGAGGCUCAACCUCGAGACGCCGAUGGAAACCAUUUGGCUAGAGUCCGGAAGAGGAGAGUGGAAUUCCUGGUGUAGCGGUGAAAUGCGCAGAUAUCAGGAAGAACACCAGUGGCGAAGGCGGCUCACUGGCCCGGUACUGACGCUGAGGUGCGAAAGCGUGGGGAGCAAACAGG